ensembl:snRNA U6 U6 spliceosomal RNA
GUGUUUGCUUUGGCAGCACAUGUAAUAACACUGGAAUAAUACGGAGAAGAUUAGCAUGGUUCCUGAACAAGGAUGACAUGCAAAUUCCUGAAGCAUUCCAUCUUUUU